rnacentral:rRNA from 1 species
GAUGAACGCUAGCUACAGGCUUAACACAUGCAAGUCGAGGGGAAACGACAUCGAAAGCUUGCUUUUGAUGGGCGUCGACCGGCGCACGGGUGAGUAACGCGUAUCCAACCUGCCCACCACUUGGGGAUAACCUUGCGAAAGUAAGACUAAUACCCAAUGACGUCUCUAGAAGACAUCUGAAAGAGAUUAAAGAUUUAUCGGUGAUGGAUGGGGAUGCGUCUGAUUAGCUUGUUGGCGGGGUAACGGCCCACCAAGGCGACGAUCAGUAGGGGUUCUGAGAGGAAGGUCCCCCACAUUGGAACUGAGACACGGUCCAAACUCCUACGGGAGGCAGCAGUGAGGAAUAGUGGUCAAUGGACGAGAGUCUGAACCAGCCAAGUAGCGUGCAGGAUGACGGCCCUAUGGGUUGUAAGCUGCUUUUAUAAGGGAAUAAAGUGAGUCUCGUGAGACUUUUUGCAUGUACCUUAUGAAUAAGGACCGGCUAAUUCCGUG